UUAAGUUAGAAAGGGCGCACGGUGGAUGCCUUGGCACUAGGAGCCGAAGAAGGACGGGACUAACACCGAUAUGCUUUGGGGAGCUGUACGUAAGCGUUGAUCCAGAGAUUUCCGAAUGGGGGAACCCACUAUCUUUAGUCGGAUAGUAUCCUUACGUGAAUACAUAGCGUGAGGAAGGCAGACCCAGGGAACUGAAACAUCUAAGUACCUGGAGGAAGAGAAAGAAAAAUCGAUUUCCUGAGUAGCGGCGAGCGAAACGGAAAGAGCCCAAACCAAGAAGCUUGCUUCUUGGGGUUGUAGGACACUCUAUACGGAGUUACAAAAGAAAGUUAUAAAUGAAGCGGUCUGGAAAGGCCCGCCAAAGACGGUAACAGCCCGGUAGUUGAAAUGGCUUUCCCUCCAGAGUGGAUCCUGAGUACGGCGGAACACGUGAAAUUCCGUCGGAAUCCGGGAGGACCAUCUCCCAAGGCUAAAUACUCCCUAGUGACCGAUAGUGAACCAGUACCGUGAGGGAAAGGUGAAAAGCACCCCGGAAGGGGAGUGAAACAGUUCCUGAAACCGUGUGCCUACAAGUAGUUAGAGCCCGUUAAUGGGUGAUAGCGUGCCUUUUGUAGAAUGAACCGGCGAGUUACGAUUUGUUGCAAGGUUAAGCGGAAAAAGCGGAGCCGUAGCGAAAGCGAGUCUGAAUAGGGCGCAUAAGUAACAGGUCGUAGACCCGAAACCAGGUGAUCUACCCAUGUCCAGGAUGAAGGUAAGGUAAUACUUACUGGAGGUCCGAACCCACGCACGUUGAAAAGUGCGGGGAUGAGGUGUGGGUAGCGGAGAAAUUCCAAUCGAACUUGGAGAUAGCUGGUUCUCUCCGAAAUAGCUUUAGGGCUAGCCUCGAGGUAAAGAGUCAUGGAGGUAGAGCACUGUUUGGACUAGGGGCCCUUCUCGGGUUACCGAAUUCAGAUAAACUCCGAAUGCCAUGUACUUAUACUCGGGAGUCAGACUGCGAGUGAUAAGAUCCGUAGUCGAAAGGGAAACAGCCCAGACCACCAGUUAAGGUCCCCAAAUAUAUGUUAAGUGGAAAAGGAUGUGGGGUUGCUUAGACAACCAGGAUGUUGGCUUAGAAGCAGCCACCAUUGAAAGAGUGCGUAAUAGCUCACUGGUCGAGUGACCCCGCGCCGAAAAUGUACCGGGGCUAAACAUAUUACCGAAACUGUGGAUGAACCUCUUUAGAGGUUCGUGGUAGGAGAGCGUUCUAAGGGCGGUGAAGUCAGACCGGAAGGACUGGUGGAGCGCUUAGAAGUGAGAAUGCCGGUAUGAGUAGCGAAAGAAGGGUGAGAAUCCCUUCCACCGAAUAUCUAAGGUUUCCUGAGGAAGGCUCGUCCGCUCAGGGUUAGUCGGGACCUAAGCCGAGGCCGAUAGGCGUAGGCGAUGGACAACAGGUAGAGAUUCCUGUACCAGUGCUAAUUGUUUAACCGAUGGGGUGACACAGAAGGAUAGGGAAUCGCACGAAUGGAAAUGUGCGUCCAAGCAGUGAGUGUGAGAAGUAGGCAAAUCCGCUUCUCGCGAAGCAUGAGCUGUGAUGGGGAAGGAAAUUAAGUACGGAAGUUCCUGAUUUCACGCUGUCAAGAAAAGCCUCUAGGAAGAGUAGUACUGCCCGUACCGCAAACCGACACAGGUAGAUGAGGAGAGAAUCCUAAGGUGAGCGAGAGAACUCUCGUUAAGGAACUCGGCAAAAUGACCCCGUAACUUCGGGAGAAGGGGUGCUCUAUUAGGGUGCAAGCCCGAGAGAGCCGCAGUGAAUAGGCCCAGGCGACUGUUUAGCAAAAACACAGGUCUCUGCAAAACCGUAAGGUGACGUAUAGGGGCUGACGCCUGCCCGGUGCUGGAAGGUUAAGAGGAGUGCUUAGCUUCGGCGAAGGUACGAAUUGAAGCCCCAGUAAACGGCGGCCGUAACUAUAACGGUCCUAAGGUAGCGAAAUUCCUUGUCGGGUAAGUUCCGACCCGCACGAAAGGCGCAACGAUCUGGGCACUGUCUCAACGAGAGACUCGGUGAAAUUAUAGUACCUGUGAAGAUGCAGGUUACCCGCGACAGGACGGAAAGACCCCGUGGAGCUUUACUGCAACCUGAUAUGGAAUGUUUGUACCGCUUGUACAGGAUAGGUAGGAGCCGAAGAGACGUGUGCGCUAGCAUACGAGGAGGCAAUGGUGGGAUACUACCCUGGCUGUAUGACCAUUCUAACCCGCCACGCUUAGCGCGUGGGGAGACAGUGUCAGGUGGGCAGUUUGACUGGGGCGGUCGCCUCCUAAAGAG
rnacentral:rRNA from 1 species